GGGGCUGAUCGGUUUCGACUUGGGACGUUAGUUCCAGGUGAAGCGGGUCGAGGAUCCAAGGUCAUCUCGUAAACGCUCCUUGGAAACCAACAACUGCCGACUCAAAGCGCAGUUCGUUCGCCCUUGCCGCCUGACGGCAAGUAGCGACGGGUCAGACUGA
rnacentral:tmRNA from 1 species